CACCCAAUGUGAGGAUCGAACCCACGACCCUGAGAUUAAGAGUGUCAUGAUCUAUCAAUUGAGCUAGCCAGGC
rnacentral:sRNA from 1 species